UUAGUCAUUAUUUUUAUUUCUUUAUUUCAAACUUUAAUAAAUAUAGCAUGAUGUUUUUUUUUGUUUUUUUCGGGUCGAAGUAAAACUACAUGGUUUUUCUUUUGGAAUCAAAUGAGUGUUAUUAAAAUUAGCAUAAUCUAUGUAUAUAUUUAAUGAGAUACUUUUAGAAGAAGAGUUAUAAAAGAAUUUUAAACGAGUGCCAAUAGUUAAAAACACUUGGCAAAAUAUGGGUGGUUUGGAGUUUGGGCUAAAAUUAAACUCAUUGGGCCUUUUCACUUCGGGUUGUAUUUCGUAAAUAGAAGCGGAACGAGAGGUUCCGACGAAAUUGAACCUCUAAAAUGGCGUAUCGCUGCUGAUAAUCACCAAACAAAACAAACAAUCAAAACUCAUUAUUUUAAACCAAAAAAUGAUUAAAAAAAAAACUGGCAAGACACUUAAUAUAAAUUGUCAGUUAACAAUUAAUGCAAUAGAUUAGAUUCUCAGCAAUGCCAAUCAAAGAUUAACAAAAGGAUCAAUAGUACGAGAGAGUUUGCGAAACAGAAGAAACGCAGCAAUAAAAGGAGGAUUGUGGUAGCACACGCAUGUCCAAGACUAGUAUGGAUUAAAUUUCUAUGCCUGCUGGAUUUUAAACUUGUCAUGCACUUUCUACGUAUUGCUUCAGCUCAUUAGCUCUGGUCAAGGCGAUAAAUAUAUUAGUUCGGACGAGUUUGGUACAAGUGGUUUACACUUUACAUAUCACCACUCUAGAAAAGAGAUAAAGAGUUUCUUUGUUAUUUUGUUGAAUUCUUAUUGCGUGUAUAUUUUGCUCUUAACAUAAUUGGUAAUAACCCAAGAAGCGAAAGUUUAUACUCCGAAAAUAGCUAAACUUUUCUUCUCUACAUGGUACAUCACAUCUUUCUUGGACCACAUGUUCAUGUGUAGUCAAAAUUGAACAAAUAUGAACACUAUCACAAUUAGUACCGAGAUUUAUUUUGAGGACAACAAAACUACUUGGCAGAUAUUUUACAUGACACAAGGCUUGUUAUUGUUGCUCUUCGGGCUAUAGAACAGUUUAAAUAUAAAAACUCUCACACUUCUACGCAUUUUUCAAGCCCGGAUCCAAACCCACUUUAAGGGUCGAGUCUAUUGCGGGCCUGGGCUGCUUUUAUUUAUUUCUUAAAAUUAUUAUAA
rnacentral:lncRNA from 1 species